rnacentral:rRNA from 1 species
GACGAACGCUGGCGGCGCGCCUAACACAUGCAAGUCGAACGAGCGAGAGGAGGUUUACUUUCUCAAGCGAGUGGCGAACGGGUGAGUAACGCGUGAGGAACCUGCUUCAAAGAGGGGGACAACAGUUGGAAACGACUGCUAAUACCGCAUAAGCCCACGACCCGGCAUCGGGUAGAGGGAAAAGGAGCAAUCCGCUUUGAGAUGGCCUCGCGUCCGAUUAGCUAGUUGGUGAGGUAAUGGCCCACCAAGGCGACGAUCGGUAGCCGGACUGAGAGGUUGAACGGCCACAUUGGGACUGAGACACGGCCCAGACUCCUACGGGAGGCAGCAGUGGGGAAUAUUGCACAAUGGGGGAAACCCUGAUGCAGCGACGCCGCGUGGAGGAAGAAGGUCUUCGGAUUGUAAACUCCUGUUGUUGAGGAAGAUAAUGACGGUACUCAACAAGGAAGUGACGGCUAACUACGUG